rnacentral:rRNA from 1 species
UGAACGCUAGCGACAGGCCUAACACAUGCGAAUCGGGGGCAGCACAAGGAGCAAUCUGAGGUGGCGACCGGCGCACGGGUGAGUAACACGUAUGCAACCUGCCUGUAAGCGGGGAAUAACCCGUUGAAAGACGGACUAAUACCGCAUAAGUACUAAAUUACUGCAUGGUAAUUUAUUUAAACAUUUAUGGCUUACAGAUGGGCAUGCGCAUGAUUAGCUAGUUGGAGAGGUAACGGCUCCCCAAGGCAACGAUCAUUAGGGGUUCUGAGAGGAAGGUCCCCCACACUGGUACUGAGACACGGACCAGACUCCUACGGGAGGCAGCAGUGAGGAAUAUUGGUCAAUGGACGAGAGUCUGAACCAGCCAAGUCGCGUGCAGGAAGAAUGUCCCUAUGGAUUGUAAACUGCUUUUGCAGGGGAAUAAAGUGCUAUCACGUGUGAUGUUUUGUAUAUACUCUGCGAAUAAGGAUCGGCUAACUCCGUGCCAGCCGCCGC